UUUUUUCAACAAAAAUGCGGGGAUUAUGAAAUCAUGCAAGCCCUGCAUUAUUUUGCGCAGAAAUGAAAGUGUGGGUAAAAAUGCGGCCCCUGCAUAAAUAUGCAGACUUUGAUGCAAUAUGCAUUGAAUUAUGUGAUCGCAUAAUCGCGUUUUUCUAGAGGGACUGAAUACAGAGCACGUCAUCU